rnacentral:rRNA from 1 species
AGAGUUUGAUCCUGGCUCAGGACGAACGCUGGCGGCGUGCUUAACACAUGCAAGUCGAACGGAAAGGCCCUUCGGGGUACUCGAGUGGCGAACGGGUGAGUAACACGUGGGUGAUCUGCCCUGCACUUUGGGAUAAGCCUGGGAAACUGGGUCUAAUACCGAAUAUGACCAUGCACUUCCUGGUGUGUGGUGGAAAGCUUUUGCGGUGUGGGAUGGGCCCGCGGCCUAUCAGCUUGUUGGUGGGGUAAUGGCCUACCAAGGCGACGACGGGUAGCCGGCCUGAGAGGGUGACCGGCCACACUGGGACUGAGAUACGGCCCAGACUCCUACGGGAGGCAGCAGUGGGGAAUAUUGCACAAUGGGCGCAAGCCUGAUGCAGCGACGCCGCGUGAGGGAUGACGGCCUUCGGGUUGUAAACCUCUUUCAGCACAGACGAAGCGCAAGUGACGGUAUGUGCAGAAGAAGGACCGGCCAACUACGUGCCAGCAGCCGCGGUAAUACGUAGGGUCCGAGCGUUGUCCGGAAUUACUGGGCGUAAAGAGCUCGUAGGUGGUUUGUCGCGUUGUUCGUGAAAACUCACAGCUUAACUGUGGGCGUGCGGGCGAUACGGGCAGACUUGAGUACUGCAGGGGAGACUGGAAUUCCUGGUGUAGCGGUGAAAUGCGCAGAUAUCAGGAGGAACACCGGUGGCGAAGGCGGGUCUCUGGGCAGUAACUGACGCUGAGGAGCGAAAGCGUGGGGAGCGAACAGGAUUAGAUACCCUGGUAGUCC